UAUCAGGCUCUGUGUUGACAGCAUGAAGCCUGCUUGGGAUUCUGUCUCUCCUCUCUGCCCCUCCCCACUCUCUCUCUCUCAAAAUAAAUAAAUAAACUUAAAAAAGAAAAAAGAAAUAGGCUCAGAUUUAUCAGCUUGGCCAAGGACACACAGUUAACAAAAGGAAGUCCUGUCUAUGCCGAAGUCCGUGUUCUUAAUAACAGUACUGCUGGCCCCCCAUUAUGUAGAGUAUAAAGUUAACUCUCUUUGAAAACAAAAUCUCUUUAUAAACGUAAAGAAAUCUUCCAUACCAAUUUAUUUCUUUUUAAAAUUUUGAAUGAAUGGGUUUUUAUAACAUUAUAUUAGUUUCACGUUUACAACAUAAUGAUUCAAUAUUUGUACGUACUGUGAAAUGAUCACCACGCUAAUCUAGUUAACAUCCAUCACCACAUCUAGUUAUAAAUGUUUCAUACUAACUUCUUACAAGCUUUGAAUCAAAGAGAUUUUUAAUUUAAUCAAAUAUUUUCUUAACAUUUAUAAAGAACUUUGUCAUUUCCCUUGCCUAUCCUAGCUUCUACCUCUGGUGGUCUCUGGGCAUUGCCACUCUGGCCUCCAGGGGGCACUGUUACCCCUUUAAUACUGUGGCUCAAGCCUUUGCUAAUUCCCUUAAGCACAGAUAAGACCAGGAAAAUAUUUAAACAAAGUUUACAAGGGGCUCAGAUGAACAGAAGGCAAAUGAGUACAGAGAGUAAUAUACAACUAGAUAAUUUGGUUCACUGAAUGCAGAGUAGGCAUUUCAGUAUUUGACACUGAAAUACCUUGCUUCCCACUGCAUGCACAAAGCAGAAGACUUUUUUUCUAUCCUGCACUAUGUCCUCAAGCAAGCAAAAUUCUUCAAAAACUGGCUCUGAGAUUAGUAAGGCUAGUUCCAGCUAAGGGCUUCCUUCCAAAUUCUACUUUCCAGUUUCAGUGUCUGCCUCUCCCUACACACUGGACACUUAACAUGUCAGCCCUCUUCUAGAAAGAUGGCAUUGUCUGCUUCUGGUUUGUAGCUUUACCCUGUUGUUUGGGAAUGGUUAUCUGUGGGUGUCUCAUACUCCUUCAUGUCUUAGACAGUAUGCCAAGAAUGUAAGGCCCUAACAGCUUAUACAGCUUAUAUUACAUAUCUAUUACUACAUAACCAAUUACUCCAAAAUGUAGAGGCUUAAAAAACAAAAUUUUUUUUUUUGACAGUUUCUUUUGAUUAGGAAUCUGGGCAUAGCUUAGCUAGGUGCCCCUGGUUCCAGGUCAAGGUGUUGGCCAGGGUGCAGUCAUCCCCGGUCUUGAAUAAGGGAGAUUCUUCUUCCAAGCUCAUUCAACAGAGUUGUUGGUAGGCCUCAGGUUCUUACUGUGGCCAAAGACAUCCUUUCCUUGCCAUGCAGGUCUCUCCAUAAGGCAGCUCACAACAUGCUGUCUACCCUCGCAGUGAGUGAGAGAGAACAUGAGAAGGUGCCCAAGACAGAAGCUACAGUCUUUUUAUAACCUCAUGUCAGAAGCAAUAUCCUGUCGUUUGUGCUGUAUUAAAUUAGUUAGAAGUGAGUCAGUAACUCUAGCCCACAGUCAACUGGAGGUGAUUACACCAAGGAGUGAAUACCAGAAGUUUUAGUACACGUGCUACCAAAGCGAGCACAGGAGUCACAGAAUCCGAAGCAGGCUCCAGGCUCCGAGCUGUCAGCAUAGAGCCUAACUUGGAGCUAGAACCCAUGGACCACGAGAUCAUGACCUGAGCUGAAGUUGGAUGCUUAACUGACUGAGUCAUCCAGGCACCUCAAAUGUAAACUAUUAUUAAUAGUGUAAACGUGUAGGAAGUUUUUGUUAACCUCACUCUAUACCUGUUCAAGUCCCCCUUGCUCUUGGUCUCAUCCUUCUGUCUGUUGCCUCCUCCUUUCCUUAAUAAGUGUAAAUGGCUUGGCCCCCACUUGGGCUCUCUUCCCCUCCUCCAUUGUCCUUCUCUUCAACCUUCCUAACCCAGGUUUAAUGUGGCCGUCUUCUCCAUACCUAUACCAUGGCUGCAGAGCUCUGUGAAGAUAAUAUCUAUUGUACAACUUGCAUUUCUUCUACAUCAGUUCAUCCCUCAGUGUGUCCUGCAACUAUUUCUGUGUUUCUCAAACCAGAGCUUUCUGCUUAAUAUAUGUAUCAGCAAAUUUUAAGUGUAGUUUUUAUUUUUGAUAUUGUACUAUUUUGAAUAAAUAUUUUCAAAGUCA